CAUUGCAUGCAUGGGCGCAAUGGCUCUUCUAUAAAUUCCCAAGCUCUGGAACGUACUUUUGCUAUAGCAAGGUCUCAUUAUAUAUAUAAUCACGUAGAAGAAAAAGAUCAAAGAGGAAGAAGAAGCUAGCGAAAUCAGACAUGUCAGGCAUCAGCUGCCCACCAGGGAAAUCCUCAUGGCCCGAGCUGCUCGGGUGGAAUGGUGAGUUGGCUGCGGCCAGAAUCCGCCAAGAGAAUCCACUGGUAAAUCAGGCCACUGUUGUCAGGGUGCGAGACCACUUUGUCAUCCACAACUUCCGUUGUGACCGUGUGUGGGUGUGGGUUGAUGACUCCGGUGUCGUCGUUUAUGUGCCAAAGCUCGGCUAGCUAGCUAGCUGGGACAUCGCGUGUUUAAUUAUAGAUUGUUUUGUGGGCCGGGGAGUUAGGUACGUUAAUUAGUGUGCGUAUAUAUGCCCAAACCGGCCAAUAAUCCAUGUGUGUGUUUGCUUAGUUGUGUUAAUUGAUCUGUCAUUAUAAGUUUAUUAGUGGCUUAAUUAGCUAGCCAGCCUUGUCUUGGGUGUGUAUUUGGAAGUAAUGUACGUAUGUACGUCUUCUGAUCUAUAUUAAGUUUGCUACGUGGUUGUCUAGAUUUGCUGGGAUUGUAAUCAUCGAUCACAGACUUUGUUAAUUUGAGCGUGGAAUCUAAAGAUGGUGUUUGGUUCAUCUUAAA